rnacentral:rRNA from 1 species
GGUAAUGGCCUACCAAGGCGGCGACGGGUAGCCGGCCUGAGAGGGUGUACGGCCACAUUGGGACUGAGAUACGGCCCAGACUCCUACGGGAGGCAACAGUGGGGAAUAUUGCACAAUGGGCGCAAGCCUGAUGCAGCGACGCCGCGUGGGGGAUGAAGGCCUUCGGGUUGUAAACUCCUUUCGCUAGGGACGAAGCUUUGUGUGACGGUACCUAGAUAAGAAGCACCGGCUAACUACGUGCCAGCAGCCGCGGUAAUACGUAGGGUGCGAGCGUUGUCCGGAAUUACUGGGCGUAAAGAGCUCGUAGGUGGUUUGUCGCGUCGUCUGUGAAAUUCUGGGGCUUAACUCCGGGCGUGCAGGCGAUACGGGCAUAACUUGAGUGCUGUAGGGGUAACUGGAAUUCCUGGUGUAGCGGUGAAAUGCGCAGAUAUCAGGAGGAACACCGAUGGCGAAGGCAGGUUACUGGGCAGUUACUGACGCUGAGGAGCGAAAGCAUGGGUAGCGAACAGGA